GAAGGCCUGUAGAGCUCUAAUCUACAUCUCAUGAAUGCAACUCAAACACUUUAAUUAAGCUAAAGCCUC
rnacentral:tRNA from 1 species